GUGAUGUUUUUUUGACACAUAGCAAUUUAAGAAUACAUGUACGGAGAACUUUAAGGGUUACUGCCAAAGAACACCCCAAUAUGUGUUCAGCAACAUCUCCUAAAUACAGUGAUACCACCCAUGUACAGGGCCAGAUUAACAUAGGGGCUGAUGGAGCUGCAGCUCCAGGCAUGCCCAUGAAAUAGCCACACUGCUAAAAUCUCUUUACAUGUGGAUGAAGGGAAACAAAACUGGUGUUGAUUGGCUGACAAUGAAAUUAGUUAAGGUAAAGCUGACUUUGUACACUAUGCAAAGCUGCUUUGGUAAGUGGCAUGUUCCCUUUCUUGUACACUCACUUCAUACACCUUUUCUCUGUCCCAGACUGUGUAACAGGAGCUUCUGCCUGCUAGUAAGAAGGUAAGGAGAGGAGUGGACAAGUGAGUGCUAGUGGACAGUCCUUAGAAAGCAUGG